CCCGCGGCUCCCCCUCGCGGAUAAGGGCAGCCCCUCCUAGUCCCUCUCUCUCUCUCUCCCAAUAACCCUAGUCCCCAAAUCCCGCUCUCCCUUGCUCAUAUGCGACGACCUGGAAGAGGCCGAGCCCACGGUCGUCAUCAUCGUCGUCGAUCCCGUGGCCACCGGCUUCCCUUCGUCGCGCCAAGACGUCCAGGAGCUUCGCCAUCGUCGUCUUCGUCGUCCUCGCCUAUCGGUUGGAGCUCAGACGGCCUGCUGCCUCGCCAUCACACGGUCUUCUCCGCCACGUCCGCCGCAUCUCGUCGACGAGCGCGACACGUCCGGCCACCUCCGUGCCUUUCGGCCAUGUCCACGAACCCCUUACCCCGAGACUGAUGCUGCUCCUGUGAUCGACUACGUCGACGACGACCCCCUCCUUGCCAGAGCAACCAGAUGUUGGAGCCCAGGAACCAGAUGCCACCGUUGAUGCCUACUACUACGUGAUGGCCGCUGACGACUUGGAGUAGUUAGGAGGCUCCCAGGCAGGAGGCCUUGCCUUUUCGAUCGAUGUUGCUUUUGUGCUAGCCUUCUUAAGUCAAACUUGUCUAGCUUAUGUUUGUACUCAUAUAUUGUUGCUUCCGCUGACUCUGGUGUUUUCGAGCUUAUGUAUUCGAGCCCUCGAGGCCCCUGGCUUGUAAUAUAAAGC
rnacentral:rRNA from 1 species